GUGCCAGCCGCCGCGGUAAUACGGGGGGGGCUAGCGUUGUUCGGAAUUACUGGGCGUAAAGGGCGCGUAGGCGGUCUGCUAAGUUGGAUGUGAAAACUCUGGGCUUAACCCAGAGCCUGCAUUCAAUACUGACAGGCUAGAGUUCUGGAGGGGAUAGCGGAAUUCCUGGUGUAGCGGUGAAAUGCGUAGAUAUCAGGAGGAAUACCGAUGGCGAAGGCAGGUCUCUGGGCUGACACUGACGCUCAUGCACGAAAGCGUGGGGAGCAAACAGGAUUAGGUACCCCUGUAGUCC
rnacentral:rRNA from 1 species